CACCGGGAGCUGGGGCUGCCCGUGAUGCUCGUGGUACAUCGGCAGCGUCGGGGAGAAGCUGAAGGAUGAGCAGCAAGCCCCAAAGGGCGAGGCGAUCUCGGCGCCGGAACUGCUCGAAGUCUUACCGACCUCCACUGUCAUUUACGCUUGGUCGUGCCAGGCAGUUUGCUGCUGGUGGUGAACAGUAUGAAAAGCAAUUCUAGUGCAUACUUUCAUGCAAAAAUAGGGCACAUUUUUGUAUGAGCUUGUUUGUUUGUUUGUUCGUUUGUUUGUUUCUUUGUUUUAGAGUGGGGAAGGGGAAAGCUUCUUGAGACUUCCUUCCACAACAGUGUGGCAAACCCCACUAUAUCCACUGGCUAGAAAUUGUGUCUGGAGAUUGUUGCAUUUGGAGCCAUUUUAAAUAGCAUUCAGAGUCAGUUCUGAGAACUGCAGCACUUCAGCCCUGGAUAAAUUUCUGUUUCUGAGAAUUCUAGAAGCAGCUGCAGAAGGUUCUCAGGCUUUCCCCCUGAGCCCCAUCUUAAUAUCAUAAUUUUCAAAACUUAACCUCACAGGCUUCUUAUAUAAAGUGUGCUUUGUCUCUGAUCCCCACGGUGCUUCUCAGUUUUUAAUAAACUGUGUAAUACACUCUGGUUUUGUGUCUUGCUGCAGAAAUGAGAACUGUAUCAUAGUAAGUCAUAGCCUAAUAGCUUCUAGAUCUAACAAUAGUGAAUGCGUUGCAUACACUGACAUUUACAUCUGCUUUCAGGUAUGUCCUGAACGAUGCACCACCUUUACACUUCGGGUUUCACUCUAGGUUUCUUCAAGUAAUAUAUUAAUUUCAUUCACAUGUAUAUAUUUUUUAUAUUUUUAAUAUAUUACAUUUCCAAAAACAUAGUCCAAAGACACCUGAGUUUGAACACCAUUGUACCUGGCAGUGCUAAUUUUACAGGAAUACUACUGUUCUCUGCAAAAACAUGCAGUCAUGCACCCUUAAGUGCUGUUCUGACCGGGAACUUCCAGAAUCAAGUGCUUGAUCUCUAUAAGGUGGGCUACAUGAGCAGGCAAGAAACAAAUCUACUUCUGUCCAUAUCCUAACUUAAAGGAAAUUGGAAAAAAAUAUAUGUAUUUUAUCUUUUCUUGUAAAGUAUUUUGUAAAAGGAUGUAAAGCUCUACUGUGGACUGAAGAUCCCAAGAGAUAAUAAAAUAACAGAGUUUCAGACCUCAGUUUUUCUUCUCUGUAAUUUCUCAUUGAAAAAAAUAUGUCUCAUUAGUUGAGAAUUAGUGUAUUGUCUCUAUUAAAAAGUGUUAUAUUUUAGGUAAUGGCUUUUGUUUGCAUCAGGAUGGUUGCACUUAAUGUGUAUAAAUAAAAAAAGAACAUGAGCUGGAGGGAGAUACUUCCUGAAAGAGCAGAUUUCAUUCACUGCCCUGUGUUAACUGUGGUAAGUUUAGGGGAAGAUUAAAAGACUGGCCUUUGAUCCAGAAGUUAAAUAUUCAGUUGUAAAAGUAAUAGGUGUUGCAGUUUAGGCAGUGAAAAGAUGAUGAAAAGUGAUGCCAGCUCUCCAAACAGUGCCUAUUCCUAUAGGUUUGCAGUAGACAAGAACGGAGAGGGUGGUCCCUGCCACCAAUCUGUCAGUGCCUCUGAACAAGCCACUUUCCUACCCAUGCUCUUGGUGGGCCCUUGGUAUGGACUGAUGAACUGCUGUUGCCACCACCCUCUCUGUGCUCCUUGAUCCUCUAGGUUCGGGUAGUUGUGCUUGGAAGUAUAGGUGGCAUCCCAAUCCAGCUAGACAGAAACCAGAUGCUUAGCUCCUGCACUGUCUGUAUUAAAAGGAGGUGAAGACUUUGGUCACAGGGAUAUUUGCCAACAAAGAACAGAGGACUGUAGAAUAAAGAUUAAGUGACUUGUAGGAAGCAGGGAAACACUUUUGUUUGGCCAAAAGCAUUAUCUCCAGAAGACCUUUCCUCACCAAAAAGCUUUCACAAGCCCAGACCUGCAUGAAAAAAUGCCACAGUGCAUGCUGCUUGCACAAGCAAAAUUCAGGAGCCCAACUCUGUCAGAGAGGGGAUGGAGGUAAAGCAGGGGCGAAGACACAGAGCUCUGCUACUGCCUGUUCUUCCCCUAUACUGAUGAUAUGCAGGAACAACCAAGAGUUGCAGGAACAUGGGCCAGCCCAGCUUGCAUGGCUCCAGGAUUUCUCUGUUUUCUCAUUCUCCUACCCCAGUGGAGGAUGUGGUCCUUAUCUAUUUUUGCAGGUUUCUCCUUCUGAGGGGUGUGCAAAGAGGUGGGCGAGAGCUUGAAAACAUCAUUGCCAUCACAUCUUCAAGGCAUUGGCCCAUCUCUGAGAUGGUAAAAGCUUCUAUGAAUAUGAUUACAUAUGUUCUAUUGUAAAAAUUAGCUUAAACAUAGUAAUUCCAAAUUCUUUGAGAUUUGUAAGGUCGGUGCUCAUAGUCCUGUAUUCUUGUGUCUUGUCUUCUCUUUCUCCAUGUGAACCCUACAGUUCAGGUUUGGGGGUAAAUCUCUGGCUGCUCUUUUCUGGUUUGAGGUUUCUUAGGAAAUGUUGGUCAUGGGCUUGGCAGAUAUAUGUUUUGAGCCUUGCAAUUACAUGGAGAUUCUGAAAAAGCUUUUCAGUUGGUGAUAGCAUGCCUUGAGAGAUGGAUUUUCACAGCAAAAUCCUCAAGUAUCUUCCGUAACUUAAUGGUUCUUACACCAGCAUCUCAUGUUUGAUGAGGCAAUGACAAAUUCAAAAUUCAGUGCAUCCUAACAUCCUAUUCAAAGUAAUAGUAGCACUACUGUGCAAAUCACAACCUACACAUGUAUCUUAAAGAGAAGUCAGCUACAGGGAAAUGAAAACCAGUUGAAGUAGAUCAAGCUGCAGAUCUUUUCAGCAGGGAAUCCAGAUAUUUUCUUCCCUGUUGACACUCUCCUUUCCAUAAGGAUGCACAUUACUUGAAAAAUAGAUGUUUCCAAAUUUGAUCUAGGCUCUCUGGUGUGGUCCUAAGCUUUUUUAAGGUGAGAACAUUGUCUAGAGCGGCACUUCUCAGAGAACAAGCUCUUUAGUACAUCCACUGGAGUCACAUUGUCUACCUCUUGCCAUGGUGUGCUUUGAAGAAGGCAGAUUGCCUGUGAGUGAUUUAAAGGCUCCUUUGGUGUCAUGUGGAGUCAAAACUACAGGAGAGCAGAAUGUGUCAGGCCAGAGAACUUCAUGCAGUUCCUCAGAACUUGGGCAGAUCACUGGCUCAACUUUGCUUUGGUCUGGGGUCCCAGCAGCAUCUUCUCAGAGUCAUGAGGGGUAUUUCUGCAGCAAAGCACCCCAGAACACUCAUGUUUCCAAACAGAAGAGGUCAGUGACCUCUGUUCUGAUAGUUACUGUGAGAAACAAUUGUCACUUUGUAAAAUUUUAAACGUUUAGUAAACUUUAACAAAAUACAACAAAAGAUUGAAUAAGGAAAAAAAGGACAACGACCCUGGAAACGGCAACCACACCCUACCCUACAAAAUGGCUACUCUGCCUUUUACACCCCUGUGGGGGGUUGGUGUGGCUGGGGGAGGUAUGGUGCGUGAGGCAACCAUGGCCCCACCCCAAGUCUGUCAGUCAACUCUUCUUCGCCGUUCAUUGGUGAAAACUGCUUUCUUGCAACUUGAUUGGAGGUCAGGUGUUGCCAUGCCGCGCCCCCUAGCAACAAGCUCUCUCACGUGCCCCAUGCGUGGGGCGCAGGUGCAGGCUGUGGGGAGAGCAGAGGACAGCUGGACAACAGACCACAAUAACAUAACCAUACAUCAAUGAAGCUUCUUUUAACAGACACACAAUAUUCAUCACCUAGUUGUGAGAGCCAAUCAUCAUAUUACCUAUCUAUCACAGUACUGAGGACGUUGCAGCAUAGGGGUAUUGUCAAGCAGGACCAUGAACUGCUUGUGAAAGGCUGCAGGUACCAGCGAAAGGUAUCUGGUUUCUCCCUUGGAAGCUGCCAGGAAGAUGAGAACGAGGUGGCAUUGAAACUGGAAAGCAGACGGCAUGCUGACACCUCCUCUGGCGGCCGUCCCCCUGUGGCCAAGUUUCUCUGGGUCUGUGCCGUUACACCAAAGUGAGCAAUGAGGAGCAUCCCUGCCUCCUCCUAGAGCAGUCCCGGGGCAUUUCAGACCUGCAGGGCUUCCUGCCUACCUUCUGCUGCUCUGUGACAUGCAGGUCUCUGCAGUGCCUGUGACAGGUGCUUCCUGCUGGCCAGGCCUGCGUGGGCUCCCCUGCGUCCCAGGCAGGUUUGCAGCCUGUGUCAACAUCCCUCCAGGGCUCUGCAGCAAGCACACAGGCAAAACCAGACAGCUCUUCCCAGCAAAACCAGCUUUCAUACAGAAAUUACGAAAACUUGGGCUUCCCAAGUGCAUAUUCAUCACAGGACUCCUGAUACUGCUCCAGCCUGGAUUCUCAAGUGAAACCUGAGAAGUCCUUUAAAAGUUGAGCCUGGGAGUGAAAAUUCAUAAUUCUGCAGAGUACUAAAAAUCAGGAACUCAGCAGAAGUAUUAGAUGUGGGGUAUAUAUCUAAAACCCAUUAAAAUUCCUUUGGAAUUACAAGCUUUGUUGGAAAACUGCAGGGUUUAGUCCCAGUUUGCAUUAGAGGAUGGCUGAAACAUUAAUCAGGAAGGUGAGAUGUGCCUUGGAGACCAUGAGGAUCAGAAGGGGCUGCAGAAGACCCCAGCCUAUUGCUUAUUGUUACCAGCCAAUUGCUUAUUGCUUGCUUGCUGUAAUUAAUAAAACUUUUCUCUGAUUGAACCAUAUCACUCUUUUGAGCGAAUUCAUAACAACGUCACCAUAGU